AGCGAACACUGGCGGCAGGCCUAACACAUGCAAGUCGAACGAAGACUUCGGGCUUAGUGGCGGACGGGUGAGUAACACGUGGGAACGUACCUUUUGGUUCGGAAUAACGCAGAGAAAUUUGCGCUAAUACCGAAUGAGCCCUUCGGGGGAAAGAUUUAUCGCCGAAAGAUCGGCCCGCGUUGGAUUAGGUAGUUGGUGUGGUAAAGGCGCACCAAGCCUACGAUCCAUAGCUGGUCUGAGAGGAUGAUCAGCCACACUGGGACUGAGACACGGCCCAGACUCCUCCGGGAGGCAGCAGUGGGGAAUCUUGCGCAAUGGGCGAAAGCCUGACGCAGCCAUGCCGCGUGAAUGAUGAAGGUCUUAGGAUUGUAAAAUUCUUUUACCAGGGACGAUAAUGACGGUACCUGGAGAAAAAGCCCCGGCUAACUUCGUGCCAGCCGCCGCCGUAAAAC
rnacentral:rRNA from 1 species